GAGACACCCUUAUGGGGCAGGACUUGCUUCAGUGGGGCUUUGGUGCUCACUGAGUCUUCCCCCUGAGUAUGUCUCU
rfam:Myotis davidii contig52786, whole genome shotgun sequence.